rnacentral:rRNA from 1 species
GAUGAACGCUGGCGGCGUGCCUAAUACAUACAAGUCGAACGCAUUGAGAGAAGUGCUUGCACUUUUCAAUUUGAGUGGCGAACGGGUGAGUAACACGUGGGCAACCUACCUGAUAGCGGGGGAUAACGAGUGGAAACAUUCGCUAAUACCGCAUAACAAUAGAGAAGGCAUCUUCUUUAUUUAAAAGGUGCUUUCAAGCGUCACUAUCAGAUGGGCCAGCGGUGAAUUAGUUAGUUGGUGGGGUGAAGGCCUACCAAGACGAUGAUGCAUAGCCGAGUUGAGAGGCUGAUCGGCCACAUUGGGACUGAGACACGGCCCAAACUCCUACGGGAGGCUGCAGUAGGGAAUAUUCCACAAUGGACGAAAGUCUGAUGAAGCAACGCCGCGUGUGUGAUGAAGGCUUUCGGGUCGUAAAGCACUGUUGUAUGGGAAGAAAUGCUAGGCUAGGAAAUGAGCUUAGUUUGACGGUACCAUACCAGAAAGGGACGGCUAAAUACGUGCCAGCAGCCGCGGUAA